rnacentral:lncRNA from 1 species
GUAUGAGCAAUUUAUUUGGGUUUAAACACAAUGACCCUAAAAUCAUAGUGUUUUUAAAUCAGGUUUUUGAAACUACAUAGGAUGAAUUUGACCCUUUUAGGAGAUGGUUCUAUGAAUUUUCAGAAAUACCUUCAGGAGUGCAGCCAUGUCUGUUAUCAAAGUGUAGAGUAUUACCUGUCCAAAAGUGUGCCCAUGUCCCUAUCUAAGCAUUUUCAUAUGUCUCUAUACCUACAACUGCUCAGUUGUUUCUCUCUCCAUAGUUUCCCAUUUUCCCAAUGUCAGUAAAUAAAAUAUAUGGUUUCUUGACUUUGGUUUUCUUUUUCUUUCUUCUGCUAGGAUUAAAGGUGUGCACCACCACUGCCCUGCAGCGUUAGCUUUUUAAAUGAAUAUAUGCAUUUGAGAUUCAUCCUGUUGCUAUGUUUCAGUAAAGACACUUAGGUGGUUUCCAGAUUUUACAAAUAUGAAUACGGUUGCUUAUAGAUUUAUUAAGAAUCUUGGCUGGGUGUGGUGUCAUCCAGCUUUAACCCCAAAAUUCAGAAGCAGAAGCAGGCAGAUUCUUGAGUUCGAGGUCAGCAUCUUCCGAACUAGUUUUAGGACAGCCAGGGCUACACCAGGAAACUCUGUCUUGGGAAAAAAAAGUCUGCUAUGUAUUAGAUGUUCCAUAGUUAAAUUCCUCACAGGAGGGAAUAUAAAACCUGUAUCUGGGAUACAUAGAACCAAUAAAUUAUUAAAAGCCAGUCUAAGGGCUGGAGAGAUAGCUCAGUAGUUAAAAGCACUUGUUGUUGCUCAGUCCCAGCACCCACACUGUAGCUCACAACUGUCUCUUAUUCCCAAUCCCAGGGAAUCUGAUGCCCUCUAUGACUUCUGAGAGCACUGGGCACACACAUGUUGCAGACAUACAUGCAGGCAAAAUACAUGUAAAAUAAAAAUAAAUUAUCUCAAAUUAAAACAACCAAAGAGGGGG